rnacentral:rRNA from 1 species
AUGCUUCAGGAUGCCGUGGGUACAAAAGCCGCUCCCACUCCGAUCCAUGACCUAGACGCCGCUCUAUCUCACUUCUGGGAGACUCCGAGAAACCCUAGAUCGAGAUUCCCCUCCUCCUUCCUCUGGUGGGAGGGGAAGAUUGGAGGCGACCACAAAUCCUACGCAGUGGUGGUUUCUUCCAAGCCAAGCGAGCCGAGCGAGAUGGAGAACCGCGGUGACCAUGCCUUCCGCGGAAAUCGUCGGGAGGGCUUUGGAUCUGGGCAGAUGGGGCGCGGAGCUGGUCGAUUUGACCGAGGGCACGGUCGGGGCCGCUUCUCGUGGUCCAGGGAGGUCGACGGCGACAACUUCUCCACCAACAAGAAGACGGCGUCGGCAUCGGACGACACCGAGUGGUGGGAUGAGGCUGCGGAGAGAGCCAAGAGGGCCAGAUCUGAGGGGGUUUGGGUGGAGAAGAACCCUAACCCUCCUGGUCUCAACGCUGCAGAAAUCCACAAGAAGAAGCGGAUCUACGACUCCGUCGCCCGAGUUGAGCCUUCUUCUCAGGUGCCCCCACCCAAAGCUUAUGAUCCCUGUUUAAUCUGCAAAUCUACUAGCCAUACUCCUGCUAGUUGUCCGCAAGCCUUUUGUGAGAGAUGCAGUAAGAUGGGACAUCUAGCAUUGGUUUGCGUUGCUUUCCUGCCAUGGGAGUGUGUGUGGCACCGAUGUGUGCUUUUCAGGCCAACGGCCAGGGGUUUUUCUAUAUUCCAGACUGAUGUACUGCUAAGCAACUAA